rnacentral:rRNA from 1 species
GACGAACGCUGGCGGCGUGCUUAACACAUGCAAGUCGAACGGUAAGGCCCUUCGGGGUACACGAGUGGCGAACGGGUGAGUAACACGUGGGUGAUCUGCCCUGCACUUCGGGAUAAGCCUGGGAAACUGGGUCUAAUACCGGAUAGGACUCCGGACUGCAUGGUCUGGGGUGGAAAGCUUUUGCGGUGUGGGAUGGGCCCGCGGCCUAUCAGCUUGUUGGUGGGGUGAUGGCCUACCAAGGCGACGACGGGUAGCCGGCCUGAGAGGGUGACCGGCCACACUGGGACUGCGAUACGGCCCAGACUCCUACGGGAGGCAGCAGUGGGGAAUAUUGCACAAUGGGCGCAAGCCUGAUGCAGCGACGCCGCGUGAGGGAUGACGGCCUUCGGGUUGUAAACCUCUUUCAGCAUCGACGAAGCGAAAGUGACGGUAGGUGCAGAAUAAGCCCCGGCUAACUUCGUGCCAGCCGCCGCGGUAA